UACGUAGGGUGCAAGCGUUGUCCGGAAUUAUUGGGCGUAAAGAGCUCGUAGGCGGUUUGUCGCGUCUGCUGUGAAAACUCGGGGCUUAACUCUGGGCGUGCGGUCGAUACGGGCAUCACUAGAGUUCGGCAGGGGGAGACUGGAAUUCCUGGUGUAGCGGUGGAAUGCGCAGAUAUCUGGAGGAACACCGGUGGCGAAGGCGGCAUCCUGGACCGGUAUUGACGCUGAGGCGCGAAAGCUAGGGGAGCAAACGGG
rnacentral:rRNA from 1 species